AGGAGGUUAGCUCAGUUGGUUCAGAGCGCUGCUUUGACAGAGCAGAGGUCAGCGGUUCGAGCCCGCUACUUCCUACCG
rnacentral:tRNA from 2 species